rnacentral:rRNA from 1 species
AGAACGAACGCUGGCGGCAUGCCUAACACAUGCAAGUCGAACGAGACCUUCGGGUCUAGUGGCGCACGGGUGCGUAACGCGUGGGAAUCUGCCCUUCGGUUCGGAAUAACAGUUAGAAAUGACUGCUAAUACCGGAUGAUGUCUUCGGACCAAAGAUUUAUCGCCGAGGGAUGAGCCCGCGUAGGAUUAGCUAGUUGGUGAGGUAAAAGCUCACCAAGGCGACGAUCCUUAGCUGGUCUGAGAGGAUGAUCAGCCACACUGGGACUGAGACACGGCCCAGACUCCUACGGGAGCAGCAGUGGGGAAUAUUGGACAAGUGGGACGAAAGCCUGAUCCAGCAAUGCCGCGUGAGUGAUGAAGGCCUUAGGUUGUAAAGCUCGUUUACCGGGAUGAUAUGACAGUACGGAGAAUAACGCCCGACUAACUCCGACGCCAGCAGCCGAC